UACGUAGGGCGCAAGCGUUGUCCGGAAUUAUUGGGCGUAAAGAGCUCGUAGGCGGUCUGUCGCGUCCGUUGUGAAAACUCGAGGCUCAACCUCGGGCUUGCAGUGGAUACGGGCAGACUAGAGUGCGGUAGGGGAGACUGGAAUUCCUGGUGGUAGCGGUGGAAUGCGCAGAUAUCAGGAGGAACACCGAUGGCGAAGGCAGGUCUCUGGGCCGCAACUGACGCUGAGGAGCGAAAGCAUGGGGAGCGAACAGG
rnacentral:rRNA from 1 species